CCUUAGAAUGGGUGCAGGUUAGCAGACAGCGACACAGAGAUCCUGUGACAGCCUCAGGUACCACCCCAUGGGUUUCAUUGCAGGAGCUGAAUUUAAACAUAUGACCCAAACAAUACACAGGAAGAUGCUGCUUGUGACAACAGAGAUUAUUCCGUGCUGGAAGAAUGUGGCAUUGUUGACAUUAAAAAAAAAGGCAAAACAGGCCUUUGCUUUGCUUGAACAGCACAGGCUUUCUUGAUCAGCUGUCUGAGGUGCCUCAUCUGUACAAAGCAUUUAAACCUGUCUAACAUCAAAAAGUAAGGUCUUCAGUUGUUGCGGUGUUGCAUGGAACAACAGAGCAGCAGAUCCAUAGACAGCAUCUUCAAACCACUGGCAGGCCAAGCAAUCACCAACCUGGAAAAGCAGUAGCACAUG